rnacentral:rRNA from 1 species
GACGAACGCUGGCGGCGUGCCUAAUACAUGCAAGUCGAGCGAAGCGGCGGAUGGGUGAGCAACGCGUGGGUAACCCGCCCUUAAACCUGGGAUACCAUUUGGAACCAGAUGCUAAUACCGGAUAAUAAAGGAUGGACCUGCGAUGCAUUGGCUAGUUGGGAGGGUAACGGCUUAACAAGGCGAUGAUGCAGAGCCGAGCUGAGAGACUGAUCGGCCACAUUGGGACUGAGACACGGCCCAAACUCCGACGGGAGGCAGCAGUAGGGAAUCUUCCACAAUGGACGAAAGUCUGAUGGAGCAACGCCGCGUGAGUGAAGAAGGUUUUCGGAUCGUAAAGCUCUGUUGUUGGUGAAGCGGUAAUCAACCAGAAAGUAACGGCUAACUACGUGCCAGCAGCCGCGGUAAUUC